ensembl:lncRNA
UGGGGGGGUGUGGGUGGGCAUGUUAUUGUGUGGUGACUUUUUAUAUUCACAGAUUCCCAUGACGGCUGCACUAUAGCACAAAUCCCCCGUCUGACUUGCUAAUUCUCUUUUACGAGCUGUUCAUGUAGAAUGUUAUUUUGAAUGUUUAUAACAGAGCGAUCUAAGGGUUGGACUCUGGUGAAACCCAGAUGAAUGUGAUAACACAUGUGAUGUGCACGUAUUUCUCAAUAUGUUCAGAAAUAUGUGCGUUGGCGUUGGUACAUUUCCUGCACUGGAAAUGUGUAGGUGUCCCACUUGUGAUGCCAAGCUGUGCCACUCGGGGUUUGAGGCUUUUCUAAAGCGAGCUGCCAGGGAAGGCCCAAGUGUCUGUAACAAUCCCAGCUCCAUUUGCCCUUUUAUAAACUCACUUGUCAAGAGACAAGAGCAGGGAAGGAGAUUGAGUGGACAAAGGCCGGGGAAGCUGUCUUGGUCCUGCUUUCUGAAUGAGGGAUUAUGCUUCUUACCAUUUAACUUAAAACAGCCCUGCUUCAAAGCGUUUGCCAGCCACGCUGCAAUCACGUCUAAGGUUGGGGUCGUAUUCCAUGUAAUUGUCUAGUUGCUAAAUCUAGGGGAAAGGUCUUAAGUCCGGGUUUGGGUCAAUAUAUAUAUAUAUUUUUUUAAAGGAGUCCCACCUGGCCUGCAUGUGCUGUUUUGCUUGUUUUGUUGUGGUCAACUUUCCAUCAGGUGUAUCUAAAACCCGUUGAGGAGCUUCAAAAAAAGCAGGAUACCGACCGAGUCGCCAGAACUCUUGUUUCAGAGCCACUCGAAAUUCUCAGCGCGUCGCCUCGCCGCGGCUUUGACUCCACAGCUCACACGCUCUGAAUGGUGCACCCGGUUUUUGUUCCAAACUGGGCUUCAUAAUGGUUAAUUGUCCAAUUUCAAGGGGGUUAAUUUACCCCCCGUCCUCCUUCUUUCUCAAAUCUCAGACAUGCCAGAGCCAAGACUCUACCGAUGGAGCGCUGAGCGAAGGCCUGCUGCCGUCAUCCACACGCACAGAGGAUGAGGGAUUGAGGGGUUGCGGAGCGGUUUAUCUCUCGUCGCCGCUCUUUUAAGAGAAACGAGAAGGGAUGAGCUGAGACGGAUUGAGUGGACUCAAAAGUAACAGGAUUGUAAUUAUUUACCCUAAACGUCCUGUUGAGACUGGCUGGAAUUUACUCCUUUCAGAACCGGACGCAGCGUGUUUGUGGGGAGCGCGGGGGCCAUCGGGCACGAACGCUCCGAGCUUUGUGUGUGUGUGUUUUUAGCCUGUUCUGCGUCACUGCUGCUCUCUUGUUUAUGCAGAGGCUGUGUGGAUAUGGAGAGGUGGGAUAUCCAAGCCUCCCACUGUCACCUGAUAUCUGUGGAAAAUGGAUCAGAUGAUUGGACGAGUCCACUCGACUCUUCGAGCAGAAAGUCCCGUUUCCCCUCACGUCAGAGCCUGUUGCAAAACCGUCGUUUUGACUCUCGCCAAGAGGUUGACUGCUGCAACGUAAGGGAGGCAGAGAAGGGCGGACGAGAGGCCGGGUGAGACGGAGAGGAAGAGGCCCAUAUUGAGUUACACAGACGAGGGUCUGUGUAUUCUCGGUGGACCAGGGAAGAUGCAGGCGAGUCUGUGACCUGUAGCACAAGGGCCUCCCCUUGUGUUCUGUUGCAAAACUACAAAUCUACUGAUUUGUUAAGUACAAAUUAAAUCAACAAAACACAGGUAAGAAAGUUAAGUCAUUCGUUGGUAAAAUCCUGGCAUUGUUCCAGAUAUCUUGAAUUUAAUAACUGAGUGAUGCAAAUGGACUUUAUUUCCUUGAGUCUUGUUUUUGGUUAUGUUGACCGUGUAACUAUUUCAAUAUGUUUACAGGAAACUUGUCUUGCACGUCUUUAUUGUCAUACAAAAUGCCCUUUGACUAUUUACUAUUUGUGUUUUUAAUGAAAGAAUAAGACAAAGAGGGAUAAAGACAAAGAACAAGUUUGAGAUUUCCAAAAACUUCAUGAUUGUAGUUCACAGAAAACUUUUUGUUUUUAACGGACCCCUGCAGUCAGACAGCAACGCGUAUGAAUGAAGUGAUAUUAGGAAACCAUUCAGUCGUUACUGAAGAGACUGUCGAGACCUGCAAGUAAUGCAAUGUUCACAUUGUCCCCUUGUAUUUAACUUUGAAUUGAGUCAAUGAAAUACCAACCAUGCACUCAAGCCACAUGAUUUCACUUUUCAGGGAAUGCAACAGAGAUCUGCUAGACAUUUUUAUGAUACGUUUCUUUUGAACAUUUUUCGCCCCUAAUAUUUGUUAACCUUUUUUUGUUAAAUUCAAUUUAUGACUUUUAGAGAAACGUCACACACAACAUCAUUCUUUUCCAAAAUGCUUCGUCUGACAUUAACCUUGUUAACAAUACAAAUAGUUUAGUUAUAAAUGUCAAAAGUGUUAUUUUUAAAGCAGCAAAUGGAAGUCUAGACUGUAAUCUACUCACAGCUAUACCUCGGUCUCCAUAGCAUUGAUCCUUUUGUUGACGGCAAGACUCCUCAAGUCUGGACCGCAACCAGGGAGUCCAGCUCCCUGAAAGGGGAGAAUGAAAGCCGUGUCUUUUGUUUGAGCCUGUAGCCUCUUUGAGGGUUCAGGUGAAGUCUCCUUUUUACUGAAAUAACUUUCCACAGACAAGAUUCAGAGCAAUUCUUGUGUAGUAUUUGUUUCGCUGGGGAGGCGAGAGUCUCUCUGGAUGGACUGUGAGUGUGUUUAUUGUUAUACUAUUUUGUAUUAUUGAUGACAAAGAAAAGAUAAAGAAAACAAUAUCACGGCUAGAAAGAUUAUUUGCAAAUUGUCUUUGAACAGAUGAGAUAAAAAAAUUGGCAGCAAACUGUAAAAAUAAAAAAAGAGUAAAAGAUUCAAAAGUUUAAAGAGCAUUUCAUCUGUCAUCUCAUCUCGUCUUCAACCGCUUACUCAAACUUCCCUUUCCCGUGCCACAUCUGCCAGCUGUGACUGGGGGAUCCCAAGGCGUUCCAGGGCCAGUGUGGACAUGCUUGUACUCAUGAUCGGUCAUCACCCAUCCCUCAGGACGAGAGGUAAGACUGGCCGGCAACUGUGGGCGAGUGGAAGACGCGGUCGCACCACAAUCAGAGGAUUGGCCGUUUGAUCCCUGGCCCGGCUUUUUCGCCGCCCACGCUGCUCGGACUCUCGGGCCAAACUCGCACUCCCUGAGGUACUUGAACUCCUUCACUUUGGCUGAGGACGUCAACGAUGCCAAACUCCACAAGAUACCAGAACUUAGGACUGAAUCUUCAUGGCUGAUAUACAAAACAAAGGUUUUCCUAAAGCAUCGGGGCAAAGUAUUUUUUUUAAAAAGCACGCUCAUCCCAGUCGUCGUUGGCCCCCCGGGGGCCCGGUAGGGCCGACACACUAGAAACAGACAUCCUCACACAGCUUCUCCUACGGCCAGUUUAGAGUAAACAAUUAACCUAAGCUGCACGUCUUUAUGCUGUGAGAGGAAGCAGGAGGCGGCGGUGCUCCACAGAUCGAUGUCAAAUCUUACUGCCCAAUACGCAUGAAAUGCACAGCUGGUGAAAAAAAGAAAGAAAAGAAAGGCAGUAUUGAGCUGAAGAACUCCCCCUUUUUCCACGUGCAUCUGUAAAUGGGUUGAUAUCAGCGGGAGGAGGUGCACAACAGAAGGAGCGCUGCUGAUGGUGGUCGUGGAGGCCUGUCGACUCAACGGGGAGCCUCCGUUACUCAUAACCGAGCGCAGAGAGGAUUCGCUGUCUCAUUCUAAUCUCCAGUCUGCCUCUUACCUUGUUUCCUUUUGCCCAUCUCCUGAUGUAACUUCAUGAGCUGCUCCCCAAAGCUCCACAGCCAGUAUCCACUCGGAGUGGGAGCAUUAACUGGGCUUUGCCGAUGCAGCAUCACGUCUCUCUUCCUUGUUGUUUCCGUCUCCGAGCUGCCAACCGAUGAUUGGACAUGACGGGGGAAGCCGUAGCUUUGGUGUGUAAGCGCUUUGACCCAGACCAGGGCAGCGGGUGGGAAACUCGCUUUUGUUGUGUUUUAGAGCUUCUUUAGGG